GGGGAAUAUUGCGCAAUGGACGAAAGUCUGACGCAGCGACGCCGCGUGAGGGACGAAGGUCUUCGGAUCGUAAACCUCUGUCAGAAGGGAAGAAGUGUAUGGGUAGUAACUGACCUGUACUUGACGGUACCUUCAGAGGAAGCACCAGCUAACUCCGUGCCAGCAGCCGCGGUAAUACGGAGGGUGCGAGCGUUAAUCGGAAUUACUGGGCGUAAAGCGCGCGUAGGCGGCUUUGUAAGUCAGGGGUGAAAUCCCACGGCUCAACCGUGGCAUUGCCUUUGAUACUGCAGAGCUUGAGUUCGGGAGAGGGUGGUGGAAUUCCAGGUGUAGGAGUGAAAUCCGUAGAGAUCUGGAGGAACAUCAGUGGCGAAGGCGACCACCUGGCCCGAUACUGACGCUGAGGUGCGAAAGCGUGGGUAGCAGAC
rnacentral:rRNA from 1 species